rnacentral:rRNA from 1 species
AGGACGAACGCUGGCGGCGUGCUUAACACAUGCAAGUCGAGCGGCAGCGCGGGGGCGACCCUGGCGGCGAGCGGCGGACGGGUGAGUAAGGCAUCGGAAUCUGCCCUGAUGUGGGGGAUAACCUAGGGAAACCUGGGCUAAUACCGCAUACGACCGAGAGGUGAAAGCGGGGGACCGAAAGGCCUCGCGCAGCAGGAUGAGCCGAUGUCCGAUUAGCUGGUUGGUGGGGUAACGGCCCACCAAGGCGACGAUCGGUAGCUGGUCUGAGAGGAUGAUCAGCCACACUGGGACUGAGACACGGCCCAGACUCCUACGGGAGCAGC